CGGCGAGUGAAGCGGCAACAGCUCAAAUUUGAAAUCUGGCACCCUUGGGUGUCCGAGUUGUAAUUUGGAGAAGAUGCUUCGGGUGUGGCCCCGGUCUAAGUUCCCUGGAACGGGACGUCAGAGAGGGUGAGAAUCCCGUAUGUGACUGGUGGCUGUCGCCCGUGUGAAGCUCUUUCGACGAGUCGAGUUGUUUGGGAAUGCAGCUCAAAAUGGGUGGUAAAUUUCAUCUAAAGCUAAAUAUGGGCCAGAGACCGAUAGCGCACAAGUAGAGUGAUCGAAAGAUGAAAAGCACUUUGGAAAGAGAGUUAAACAGUACGUGAAAUUGUUGAAAGGGAAGCGCUGGCAACCAGACCUGUGCGUCGGUGAUCACCCGGGGCUUGCCCCGGGGCACGCGGCGGCGUGCAUGCCCGCAUCGGUUUGGGUGGCGGGAGAAAGACCCCUGGAACGUGGCUCCCCCGGGAGUGUUAUAGCCAGGGGUGUCAUGCUGCCCACCCGGACCGAGGCCUGCGCUUCGGCUAGGAUGCGGGCGUAAUGGUUGUCAGCGACCCGUCUUGAAACACGGACCAAGGAGUCUAACAUCUAUGCGAGUGUGUGGGUGGCAAACCCAUGCGCGGAAUGAAAGUGAACGGAGGUGAGAACCCACCAGGGGGCAUCAUCGACCGAUCCUGAUAUCUUUGGAUGGAUUUGAGUAAGAGCAUAGCUGUUGGGACCCGAAAGAUGGUGAACUAUGCCUGAAUAGGGUGAAGCCAGAGGAAACUCUGGUGGAGGCUCGCAGCGGUUCUGACGUGCAAAUCGAUCGUCAAAUUUGGGUAUAGGGGCGAAAGACUAAUCGAACCAUCUAGUAGCUGGUUCCUGCCGAAGUUUCCC
rnacentral:rRNA from 1 species